rnacentral:tRNA from 1 species
GCCGUCGUAGCUCAGCUGGUAGAGCGUAUGACUGUUAAUCCUCUUAGAAAGAGGAACAGUCAUCAUAAGGUCAACGGUUCGAACCCGUUCGACGGCG